rnacentral:rRNA from 1 species
GACGAACGCUGGCGGCGCGCCUAAUGCAUGCAAGUCGAGCGACGCAUGCUCGGUGGGUAACCACUGGGUAUGACGGAGCGGCGAACGGGUGAGUAACACGUGAGUAACCUGCCCCGAAGAUCGGGAUAGCCCGGGAAACCCGGAUUAAUACCGAAUACCCUCUCUGGAUCGCAUGGUCCGGUGAGGAAAUGCCUUUGUGCUUCGGGAUGGACUCGCGGCCUAUCGGCUAGUUGGUGAGGUAACGGCUCACCAAGGCAACGACGGGUAGCUGGUCUGAGAGGACGAUCAGCCACACUGGGACUGAGACACGGCCCAGACUCCUACGGGAGGCAGCAGCAGGGAAUCUUGUCCAAUGGGCGCAAGCCUGAGACAGCGACGCCGCGUGAGGGAUGAAGGCCUUCGGGUUGUAAACCUCUUUCAGGAGGGACGAAAUUGACGGUACCUCCAGAAGAAGCCCCGGCCAACUACGUG